GCCCGGAAUCCACAUUCUACCGCCUAAAGAAAUCAAGCAGAGGAUGAAACGUUUCAAAGCAUUAAAGCUAUUUAAAAGCUUUGCCCCCACCGAUCCAAAGAAGGAAGUAGCAGAAUGCAGGAGUGAAUUGAGUAGCGUGACAGCAUUUCAGAGCUGGAAGGGGCCUCUGUGAACACUGAUAGCUGCCUUCCUCUGUGAAAGAUGAGGAAAUGGUGGCUCGGGGAGGUGAAAUGAUUUGCUCGAGGUCAUAUGGUGUCCAAGGCCAUGCCAGGUGGGAGCUGUCCUCCCUUGCCACGUGCUGUUCCACCAAUUCUUGAUGCAGUCAGUGCCGCAGGGAGGCGUCCAUCUUCCUGCCUCCUUUGGAACUUGGUGCCGGGCACAAGGGUGGAGAGGCCAUGGGUCCGCGCAGAGGACCUCUUUCCCCAAGGCAAAGGGGGCUGAGAAGAGUUGCUGUGUUCCUGAAGCAUCCACGGGUCUGAGCUCACGUUUGCAGAGGAGAAAGGCAGCUAGCUCCUUGUCAAGACACCGGCUGCUGCCAGGACUGGCUUUGGAGGCACUGCAGAUAGACAAUGACAGAAGUUCUGGAAGACAAGGGAGGGGCUGCUGCUGGUGUGGGGUGUUUCUGUGGGGACUGCAGAAUGGUGUGGUGCAAGGCCUCAGAAGAGGGCCAGAGUCACUGAGAUGGUGAGUCUGAGGGAGGGGACAGAGUCCCCAGCUGCUUUCCUGGAGUGACUCUAGCACAGCCUCUGAGUGUAUUAGAGGAAAGGGCUGUGACAGUGAUGUGCUUGUGGGGUUUGCAGUGGGUUCUAGAACGUUGGUCCUUGUGAACCUCCAGUAUUUGCAGCAGACCCUAAUUUAGG
rnacentral:lncRNA from 1 species